rnacentral:rRNA from 1 species
CGCGAAUUCGCCCUUCGGGGUGCACCAGGCGCGAAAACUCUACAAUGCAGGCAACUGCGAUAGGGGAACAUCGAGUGAUACUCAUCUUGGGUGUCUGUCCUCCCGUCUAAAAAACGGGAGUUAGCAAGGGCCGGGCAAGACCGGUGCCAGCCGCCGCGGUAAUACCGGCGGCUCGAGUGGUGGCCGAUAUUAUUGAGUCUAAAGGGUCCGUAGCCGGCUUUGCAAGUCUUUUGGGAAAUCCAGCGGCUUAACCGUUGGUCGUCCGGGAGAUACUACAUUGCUUGGGACUGGGAGAGGUAGGAGGUACUCAGGGGGUAGGAGUGAAAUCCUGUAAUCCUUUGGGGACCACCGGUGGCGAAGGCGUCCUACCAGAACAGGUCCGACGGUGAGGGACGAGAGCUAGGGGCACGAACCGGAUUAGAUACCCGGGUAGUCCUAGCCGUAAACGAUGCUCGCUAGGUGUCACAACAAUCGUGAAUUGUUGUGGUGCCGUAGGGAAGCCGUGAAGCAAGCCACUUGGGAAGUACGACCGCAAGGUUGAAACUUAAAGGAAUUGGCGGGGGAGCAC